UAUAGGUAUGUGCUAGAGAAAGAAUGGCUUUACAAGUUUACGACAAAACUUUGACAGAUAUUAGUGUAUUGGUUGUCCAUGAAGAUUUUGGCAUUGUUCACAGAAGCUAAAACCAAAAUUAUCCCGUGAUUCCAAAUUGGAUAGGCUGGAAGGUUGGAAAGUGUGAUUGGAUGGUAUCACUCACACCUUGGUUAUGGAUGAUGGUUGGCAUACAUGCUGGACGAGAGUCAGAGCGAGGCAAACUGCAUACUGGAAAACAGCCGGAGCAAGGCCUCGAGGACUAGGCCAACUGCCAUGGACUACAAUCAGGACAGCACCGCCGCCAAGCAGCCACUGACACACGCUGAAGCAUAUAUGCAGUACACUGCAAUUGCCUGCGAAGCAUGAGAUAUUUAAGCUAACAAAUGGUUAAUUGGUUUCAGUGCAUAGGGUGGCCAUUGGUGAGGGCAUACAGGAGGAACACCUUCCAUGCAGCAGUAGCAGCCAAGAAGGCUGUGAAGCUAUUUCUAAAGGUGAGGAUUGAUGGGGUGCCAUACAUUAGUAAGGUCACCCUCCGGAUGUAAAAGGGGUAUAGGGAGCUUAGAGAGGCGCUAGAUUUGCUCCUCUCUGCCCAGUCCUUCUGACCAGCUCGCCGUUGCUUGCUUGUGGAAAAUGUGCCAUGUGACUUUUGCCAAGUUGAUGAGAUUUGGAGACAUGAGCUCUAUAAGAACUUUGUAGGAACUCAAAGUCCAUGCAUGGUUAAGCUGAACAUGCUUCCAGAAAUCUUCAAUCAAUUCAAAAAUCACAUUCGAAGCAAAGCACCAAGGUCACUUGAUGACUCCCAUCAGAUAAAGUCAAGAUAUUGAGCGAAGGAUCGAACCAUGCACUGGUCAAAAUCCCUAAUAUUUGUUCAGAUUGUAUGAUUGUAGGGAUCUACCAUUUGUAAUAGUGUAUUAUAUUCCACAUCGGUGGGACUACCUUCUUACAAGUAUGCGAGAUGCAUGUAUCCGUGCUCUGAUGUAAUCUUGGAUCCUAUAUAAAUGCAAUUACAACUAUUUUUA